rnacentral:lncRNA from 1 species
GCAAUGCUGGAGUUAAAUUCUAAGAAUGUAGAACACUCACUCAAGAUCUUCCUUUAUUCCUGCCCACUUUGUCACAGGCAGAACAACGUAGGAGUGGAGAUGUGAUCUCCAGAGCCACACUGUCUCGUUCGAAUCCUGGCCCCAUUGCAAACUAUCUGGAAUGCCUGAGUUUUGUCAAGCCCAUGGCCACCCAGCCAGUGACUACAUUUCCCGGUUUCCUGUAUAGCUAGGCAUAGCCAUGUGACGAAAUUCUGGCCAAUGGAAUGCCACUGUGAAGAGAAUGAAACUGAAAUAUGUAGAACAUUCUCGGCCUCUCUGAGGAUGGGUGGAAUCAGAACAGAGUAAUUACCCCUUGUGCUGUCUUGUAUGCCUGUCAUCCAACAACACAUGAUGUUCAUUCUCUCCAUUCUUUUCUUGCAAUACUGAUGAAAUAAAAUUUGUCUAUAAAGAUUCCUAGCUGAGUACUCAAAUGUUUUUCUUGAACAUUUGUUACAUGGUCUACUUUGCAAGCUUGGUUUCAAAUUUGUUGAUACCAGGAUUAAUAACAGUAUGUCUUGUGCCAGUAUAUUUUAUUUUCAUUGAGUUCUGAAAAUUGACUUCAGAGAACAGCAUUUUUAAAAUAACAUUUUUAUUUAUAUCAAUAAAAAUACCCAUGAAUUCAUAUGACUAAAAUAUUAAAACCUAGAACCCAAUUUGUUUACCUAACCAAUCACUUGCAAUUACCUUUAGGUAAUUGUAUUGGUUUGGUUUCAAGUAUUUUUUAACUAGGGCUGAUUUUAAGAAGUGUUUUCAUUUAAGCUGUAAUUAUAGUCGAUAGAACUUCCACCUAAUAUGUGACUUUUUUUAAUUUUUAAUUUUUUUGAGAUGAAGCCUCACUC